rnacentral:lncRNA from 1 species
GAAAGAUAUCAUGGCUGUCUCAUCGUUCAGACAGCCUUCUUUCAGGAUCACAGAAGAAUGAGCUGGGACCACCAUUGCUGCUGCUAUUCCAGUUGCUCCCCUGCUCUGCGGAACUGGCGCUGCAGGAGACAAGGAUGCUCCAGCCAGCGAGGGCUCAGUGAGUCAGGAGGGGCUGUGACGACUGCAGCAGGAGUUGAACCCCCCCCUGGAAUCCAGCAGGAAAGGAGGGGAGACGAGGAAGGUGCCCCCGAGGAGCUCGCGGUGCAGCUCGUGCUUAAGCACCGCCUAAGGAAGAGGAAAAGAAGGAAGGAAAGGAAGAAAUAAAAGCCCCGAAGCCAAGCAGUUUCCGUGGUGGAGCUUGGCAGCUCUGACACGUCAUCGUGACAACGACACAGCAAAGCGAAACCUUCCCGGCGCCGGCGCGGGGCAGGCAGGAGGCGGGGACCCAACCCGGGGACCGAACCCGUGGCAGCAGACAGACCGCGCCGCGGGGCCGGACCGGGCCGGGAGCCCCCGGCACUUUGAGACGAGCGCAGCCAACAUUCGGAUUUGACACCAGGCUCUCGGCCAAUCCGAGAAGGCUUUUCACCUGCCAUCGCUUCCUCCGCCAAUCAGACGGCGUGUUUGGGCUGAGAACCCUCCCCGGCCAAUCGGGAGCCGGCUGAGCCACUUAGUUAAUGAUGCAGCAGUACAGGGAAGACUAUCACAUGUGAGCUGGAAGGCUGCCAACAUGGAGACACGGAGAGAGCAAGGUAAACAACUUUCCAACGCCAAAAUGAUGACAUUUAAUCCCUAAAUGCUAGCUUCCCGUCUCGACUCAUCCUUAACCCCUUUCAGCUGGUGUGGAAGCGUCUGGAAGGCACCGUGUACCUGUCCCCAGUGCUUUUAAAAACUGGCCGACGUGCCCUGCAAUGAUCACUGCGUCACCGUUUGCCACUUUCUGAACUACGCAGUGACAAAGCCCUUAUCCCAGCUCACAGGGUGGCUGUUAACCCCUGCACCCAGCCCUGCCUCCACGCCAGCCCUCAGGGGGACGGCAGGGAAUAAAAAGCCUGAGCAAAACA